CUGGUCUUGACAUGUCGAGAACUUUCCAGAGAUGGAUUGGUGCCUUCGGGAACUCGAACACAGGUGCUGCAUGGCUGUCGUCAGCUCGUGUCGUGAGAUGUUGGGUUAAGUCCCGCAACGAGCGCAACCCUUGUCAUUAGUUGCUACGCAAGAGCACUCUAAUGAGACUGCCGGUGACAAACCGGAGGAAGGUGGGGAUGACGUCAAGUCCUCAUGGCCCUUAUGGGUAGGGCUUCACACGUCAUACAAUGGUACAUACAGAGGGCCGCCAACCCGCGAGGGGGAGCUAAUCCCAGAAAGUGUAUCGUAGUCCGGAUUGUAGUCUGCAACUCGACUACAUGAAGUUGGAAUCGCUAGUAAUCGCGGAUCAGCAUGUCGCGGUGAAUACGUUCCC
rnacentral:rRNA from 1 species